rnacentral:rRNA from 1 species
AGCAGCCGCGGUAAUUCCAGCUCCAAUAGCGUAUAUUAAAGUUGUUGCAGUUAAAAAGCUCGUAGUUGAAUUUCGGAAUCUGUCCGUCGGUCGGGCUUCACUGUCCGUACUGGUGUGGUGGGUUCUUACCUUCUGAAUAACCAGCAUGCCAUUAAUUUGGUGCGUUGGGGAAGCAGGACUAUUACCUUGAAAAAAUUAGAGUGCUCAAAGCAGGCUAGUGCCUGAAUACAUUAGCAUGGAAUAAUAAAAUAGGACGGCAUGGUUCUAUUUUGUUGGUUUCUAGGAUCACCGUAAUGAUUAAUAGGGAUAGUUGGGGGCAUUAGUAUUCAAUUGUCAGAGGUGAAAUUCUUGGAUUUAUUGAAGACUAACUUCUGCGAAAGCAUUUGCCAAGGAUGUUUUCAUUAAUCAAGAACGAAAGUUAGGGGAUCGAAGACGAUCAGAUACCGUCGUAGUCUUAACCAUAAACUAUGCCGACUAGGGAUCGGACGAUGUUAAUUUUUAAUGACUCGUUCGGCGUACC